CGCGCAGGCGGCUUUUCAAGUCAGGCGUGAAAGCCCCGGGCUUAACCUGGGAACUGCGUCUGGGACUGAGAGGCUAGAGUUCGGGAGAGGAGAGUGGAAUUCCCAGUGUAGAGGUGAAAUUCGUAGGUAUUGGGAAGAACACCGGUGGCGAAGGCGGCUCUCUGGACCGAGACUGACGCUGAGGCGCGAAAGCGUGGGGAGCAAACA
rnacentral:rRNA from 1 species